GAUGAACGCUGGCGGCGUGCCUAAUACAUGCAAGUCGAGCGGUAACACUUCGGGGGACGAGCGGCGGACGGCUGAGUAACGCGUGGGGAUGUACCCCAGAGUGAGGGAUAAGCACCGGAAACGGUGUCUAAUACCGCAUAACCUCUUCGGAGAAAAGCUUCGGCGCUUUGGGAACGGCCUGCGUAUGAUUAGCUUGUUGGUGAGGUAAAAGCUGACCAAGGCUAUGAUCAUUAGCUGGUCUGAGAGGAUGAUCAGACAGACUGGGACUGAGACACGGCCCAGACUCCUACGGGAGGCAGCAGUAGGGAAUUUUCCACAAUGGACGAAAGUCUGAUGGAGCAACGCCGCGUGCAGGAUGAAGGCCUUCGGGUUGUAAACUGCUUUUAUCUGUGAAGAUUAUGACGGUAGCAGAUGAAUAAGGAUCGGCUAACUCCGUGCCAGCAGCCGCCGUAA
rnacentral:rRNA from 1 species